rnacentral:lncRNA from 1 species
AUUGCAUUCAAAUGCAAAUGCAAAUGUAAAUCCGAAUCCGAAUCCGAGUCCGAAUGCAAAGGUAAGCUACAAAAGCGUAAGGAAAACGCUCACAGAUUAGACGGCUUCCUCGAUCCUGGGGCUGGCCUUGUUAGCGGCUUGGACGCUGUGUCCUGCCCAUUCAUGAAUACGCGUUGGACUGAUCUCACUCUGAGCCGAGCCAGUCGGCCCUGGGCUCGUACCAAUCCUAUUAGUGUUCGGCCCUGCCUCAAUGCGCUCUGUUACAGCACAAACAACACAUUAGGACGAAGGGAUUUACACGGACUUUGUCCAAUUUACUGCAGCAAAGUUGUGCCUACCGUGCCGCUGAGUAUGUGCC